rnacentral:misc_RNA from 1 species
GAUGAAGAACGUAGCGAAAUGCGAUAAGUAAUGUGAAUUGCAGAAUUCAGUGAAUCAUCGAAUCUUUGAACGCACAUUGCGCCCGCUAGUAUUCUGGCGGGCAUGCCUGUCCGAGCGUCAUUUCAACCCUCAAGCCCCCGGGCUUGGUGUUGGGGAUCGGCGAGCCUCCGCGCCCGCCGUCCCCUAAAUCUAGUGGCUGUCUCGCUGUAGCUUCCUCUGCGUAGUAGCACACCUCGCACUGGGAAACAGCGCGGCCACGCCGUUAAACCCCCAACUUCUGAACGUUUGACCUCGGAUCAGGUAGGAAUACCCGCUGAACUUAAGCAUAUCAAUAAGCGGAGGA